UUAAGCGACUAAGCGUACACGGUGGAUGCCCUGGCAGUCAGAGGCGAUGAAGGACGUGCUAAUCUGCGAUAAGCGUCGGUAAGGUGAUAUGAACCGUUAUAACCGGCGAUUUCCGAAUGGGGAAACCCAGUGUGAUUCGUCACACUAUCAUUAACUGAAUCCAUAGGUUAAUGAGGCGAACCGGGGGAACUGAAACAUCUAAGUACCCCGAGGAAAAGAAAUCAACCGAGAUUCCCCCAGUAGCGGCGAGCGAACGGGGAGCAGCCCAGAGCCUGAAUCAGUGUGUGUGUUAGUGGAAGCGUCUGGAAAGGCGCGCGAUACAGGGUGACAGCCCCGUACACAAAAAUGCACAUACUGUGAGCUCGAUGAGUAGGGCGGGACACGUGGUAUCCUGUCUGAAUAUGGGGGGACCAUCCUCCAAGGCUAAAUACUCCUGACUGACCGAUAGUGAACCAGUACCGUGAGGGAAAGGCGAAAAGAACCCCGGCGAGGGGAGUGAAAAAGAACCUGAAACCGUGUACGUACAAGCAGUGGGAGCCUCUUAAUGGGGUGACUGCGUACCUUUUGUAUAAUGGGUCAGCGACUUAUAUUCUGUAGCAAGGUUAACCGAAUAGGGGAGCCGAAGGGAAACCGAGUCUUAACUGGGCGUUAAGUUGCAGGGUAUAGACCCGAAACCCGGUGAUCUAGCCAUGGGCAGGUUGAAGGUUGGGUAACACUAACUGGAGGACCGAACCGACUAAUGUUGAAAAAUUAGCGGAUGACUUGUGGCUGGGGGUGAAAGGCCAAUCAAACCGGGAGAUAGCUGGUUCUCCCCGAAAGCUAUUUAGGUAGCGCCUCGUGAAUUCAUCUCCGGGGGUAGAGCACUGUUUCGGCAAGGGGGUCAUCCCGACUUACCAACCCGAUGCAAACUGCGAAUACCGGAGAAUGUUAUCACGGGAGACACACGGCGGGUGCUAACGUCCGUCGUGAAGAGGGAAACAACCCAGACCGCCAGCUAAGGUCCCAAAGUCAUGGUUAAGUGGGAAACGAUGUGGGAAGGCCCAGACAGCCAGGAUGUUGGCUUAGAAGCAGCCAUCAUUUAAAGAAAGCGUAAUAGCUCACUGGUCGAGUCGGCCUGCGCGGAAGAUGUAACGGGGCUAAACCAUGCACCGAAGCUGCGGCAGCGACGCUUAUGCGUUGUUGGGUAGGGGAGCGUUCUGUAAGCCUGCGAAGGUGUGCUGUGAGGCAUGCUGGAGGUAUCAGAAGUGCGAAUGCUGACAUAAGUAACGAUAAAGCGGGUGAAAAGCCCGCUCGCCGGAAGACCAAGGGUUCCUGUCCAACGUUAAUCGGGGCAGGGUGAGUCGACCCCUAAGGCGAGGCCGAAAGGCGUAGUCGAUGGGAAACAGGUUAAUAUUCCUGUACUUGGUGUUACUGCGAAGGGGGGACGGAGAAGGCUAUGUUGGCCGGGCGACGGUUGUCCCGGUUUAAGCGUGUAGGCUGGUUUUCCAGGCAAAUCCGGAAAAUCAAGGCUGAGGCGUGAUGACGAGGCACUACGGUGCUGAAGCAACAAAUGCCCUGCUUCCAGGAAAAGCCUCUAAGCAUCAGGUAACAUCAAAUCGUACCCCAAACCGACACAGGUGGUCAGGUAGAGAAUACCAAGGCGCUUGAGAGAACUCGGGUGAAGGAACUAGGCAAAAUGGUGCCGUAACUUCGGGAGAAGGCACGCUGAUAUGUAGGUGAAGUCCCUUGCGGAUGGAGCUGAAAUCAGUCGAAGAUACCAGCUGGCUGCAACUGUUUAUUAAAAACACAGCACUGUGCAAACACGAAAGUGGACGUAUACGGUGUGACGCCUGCCCGGUGCCGGAAGGUUAAUUGAUGGGGUUAGCGGUAACGCGAAGCUCUUGAUCGAAGCCCCGGUAAACGGCGGCCGUAACUAUAACGGUCCUAAGGUAGCGAAAUUCCUUGUCGGGUAAGUUCCGACCUGCACGAAUGGCGUAAUGAUGGCCAGGCUGUCUCCACCCGAGACUCAGUGAAAUUGAACUCGCUGUGAAGAUGCAGUGUACCCGCGGCAAGACGGAAAGACCCCGUGAACCUUUACUAUAGCUUGACACUGAACAUUGAGCCUUGAUGUGUAGGAUAGGUGGGAGGCUUUGAAGUGUGGACGCCAGUCUGCAUGGAGCCGACCUUGAAAUACCACCCUUUAAUGUUUGAUGUUCUAACGUUGGCCCCUAAUCGGGGUUGCGGACAGUGUCUGGUGGGUAGUUUGACUGGGGCGGUCUCCUCCUAAAGAGUAACGGAGGAGCACGAAGGUUGGCUAAUCCUGGUCGGACAUCAGGAGGUUAGUGCAAUGGCAUAAGCCAGCUUGACUGCGAGCGUGACGGCGCGAGCAGGUGCGAAAGCAGGUCAUAGUGAUCCGGUGGUUCUGAAUGGAAGGGCCAUCGCUCAACGGAUAAAAGGUACUCCGGGGAUAACAGGCUGAUACCGCCCAAGAGUUCAUAUCGACGGCGGUGUUUGGCACCUCGAUGUCGGCUCAUCACAUCCUGGGGCUGAAGUAGGUCCCAAGGGUAUGGCUGUUCGCCAUUUAAAGUGGUACGCGAGCUGGGUUUAGAACGUCGUGAGACAGUUCGGUCCCUAUCUGCCGUGGGCGCUGGAGAACUGAGGGGGGCUGCUCCUAGUACGAGAGGACCGGAGUGGACGCAUCACUGGUGUUCGGGUUGUCAUGCCAAUGGCACUGCCCGGUAGCUAAAUGCGGAAGAGAUAAGUGCUGAAAGCAUCUAAGCACGAAACUUGCCCCGAGAUGAGUUCUCCCUGACUCCUUGAGAGUCCUGAAGGAACGUUGAAGACGACGACGUUGAUAGGCCGGGUGUGUAAGCGCAGCGAUGCGUUGAGCUAACCGGUACUAAUGAACCGUGAGGCUUAACCUU
rnacentral:rRNA from 1 species